rnacentral:lncRNA from 1 species
CUAAAUUCAAAUGUGUGAACCACAAAAGGAAAAAUAUUCUAGUUUUUGAAAUUAUAGCCACUAUAAAAAAAGGGGCACUACAGUCAAUUUGGCAUUGACAUUAACUUGAAAACUUUUGUUUUCUCAGCAAGCACUUCCAUCAUCAACCAGACAACCACUGAGACCUCUCUUCUUCUCUUUUAUCUUCCUCAUUUCGUUGCAAAUAACCACCCAUCAUCUUAAUCUCUUGGAUGGAAAUAUGGUGUUAAAGUCUCUUGUAUUCCUAAAGCAUUUGAUCCAUUGUUGCUAACGCACUUCUCGAACCCCUACCAUCUUUUAAUUUUGAAUCUAAUGUUAAAUUUAUUUUUUCAACUAUAUUAGCUAAUUAAUACCACUUGCAAGGACGUCCAUGAGAUUUUGAGUGUCUUGUUCAAGUAACGAGUUUAGUGCCCUAUUUUUUGUAAGUCUAUAUAUAUAUAUAUAUAUAUAUAUAUAUAUAUAUAUAUAUAUAUAAUCAAAUGUAGAUGGUCAUCUAUGAAAUCCUAAACCCUAAAAUGAUAUUUUUGAAUUUUGACAUCUAGUAGUAAAAAAUUUCAUAAAAAAUGUGGACUUUCAAAAAUAUUUACAAUGUAAAUAGCAUCACGUAAUCACUUAAUACUUCACACCAAUCCAAAAACAUCCAUCAAAUUUAACAAUCCGAAGUCAUAAUAUUAGAUAACAAAAUUCUUUUGAAAUAAUUGUAUAUAAGUUUAAUAAAAGAUGAAAAUAUAAAAUAUGUAAUAAAAAUCUUCAAAAUAAAAUUGUGUUCGACACUCUAAGAGUACUAGUCAUCACUUACAAUCGACAGCUCGUAUGCGUCCAUCUUAAACGUCAAAUACAAACAACGAAUGGUGAGUUUCAAAAUCAUUUAACAGUAUAAAAUAAACUAGAAGAAUGCACAAGUAGUCAAAUUGGCACAAACGUGAGAAAUAUUCAACAACAUAAUAUCAAAUAUUAAUCCAAAUCAAUUAUAAUAAAAUAGUCACAAGGAUGCAAUGCUUGUUGAGACAAAAUCUCAAUUUAAUGUUUUGAUGAUAAUUAAACAAAAGGUUAAUUAAGACUUCUAAUUCUGAUUCUAAGUGUUUUGGUAUUUAAGAUGUGUAUUUGAGUGUGUUAAAAUAAGAUAUGUACUAAGCAUUACAAAGCAUAUCUCAUUAAAAUCAAAAAAAGCAAAAUCAGUAAAUAGAAGAACGUUUUUUACAGAUUUCUGGAAAACGAAGAAUGUUCUCCACAUCUGCCAUAAACAACAAUGAUCAAAUUUUUAUGUAAAAGAUUAGAUUUAGGAAGUAUUAUCCAUUUCAUAUCUUCAUCAGAAAUAUACAAGGAUCAAUCUGAGAAAGAAUCAUUCCAGAAUUUGAAGGCACAAAUCCUUGCUUUACAAAAUGCAUAAAGCAAAAUAAUUCUUCAAGUCAAGCAAAUGCAAGUACAAUUAACAGUCUGUAAAGGACACUGUUGUUGUACCUUCAAACAGACCUACACACGUGACUUAAAGCUAUUAAUCAUUUCAGACAACUGAGAGGAUCACAAGUACAACUCAACUCAUCUCAAACCAAUUCGAAGAACGUUCUUGGAUCUCAAGAACAUUCCUGGUUUCAGCAUGAAUAAUCUUGUUUUAUGGUUGAUCUUAUUCAUUCACUUACUCAUGACAGCUGGCCUACUUCCAACGGUUAAAUGAGUUGUCAUAAGCUCUCUUGAAGCCUAUAAAUAAAGCUUCACGAUGUAGAACAAAUCAAAGCUUCAAGUACUAAAAAAUUCAUUACUGAUUUCAAUCAUACUUGAAUUUCUCUCACUCACAUACAUUGAAUUAGUUCUGCUUUUUCCCAUUCGAUUCCUAGAAUCAUUCAUGUAUUUUUCUCUGUCAAAGAAUCAGAUCUCAAACAAGAGUUGAGACAUCUCAUAUUCUAACAAAACAAUCUAAUCAUUAUUCUAAAAAUCAAACUAUAAGAGUUUAGUAUAGUUUGGGUAGAUUGUAAGAAAUCCUAUCAAGGUUGAUAGGUGACCUGAUUGAACUCCUUUCUGGGUGGAAAGGUUUUAAGUUUGUAACAGACCAAGGUUGAUUUGAGCUAGGUGCUGUAAAACCAAGAAGCUUCUUUGUUUUGAACACUUUGUGGAAAAUCUCACGGUUGUGAGGACUGGAUGCAACCCGGGUUGGGUGAACCAGGAUAUAUGCUUGUGUUAUCUCUCUAUCUCUAUCUCUAUUUAUUAUAUGUUUUACAAUCAGUUUUUAUAUUGAUAAAAUUGAUAUUGUUGUUUUUUCACUAUCCAAGAUCAUUCUUCAUUUAUAACCAAGAUCAAUCUUGAGUUAAACUUUCAGUUUUAAACAUGAUUUUUAAAAAGAGACAAUUAUAAUUCAAACCCCCUUCCUUAUAAUUGACAUUGUUACUUCAAUGUUAUGCAUGUCCUAUACUCUAUACUUCUUCAUAAUUUGUGUAGCAACCCUCUUACUAUUUUAGAAAACAUUUUUAAACUUAAAGUAAUAAAAAACAAUUAUAGAAAAAUUAUUUAUUUGUAAUACUCUAUUUUAAUAAUGAUUGACUAAAAUAUAAAGUAGAAAUGGAAAAAUUAGAAUAUUAAAAUUGUCCAAGUGUCAAAAGAAUGACAUGCUCAUUUCUGUCUCUCCUUCUUAGAAACUCACAGAUAUUAACUCAUUCUCAAAUUCAUUUCCUUCGUUUUUUAGCCACAAUCUUCUCUCAAAAUACUCCAACACACAAGUUAUAGUUCAUCAUAUCUUUCAAUCCUCCAUUUUUCCAUCUCUUUCCAAAAUCAUUCAAAUACAACAACUCAUUAAAAUUCUCCAUACUCAAUAAUUUAUUUAUAUUUAUAAAAUUAAAUCCAUAUAAACUAAAUUAUUAAAAAUAAUUAUUUGUUUAUUACUAUUUUGGUAAAGUUAUUGAUAAAGAAACUACGAU